UACGAAGGGGGCUAGCGUUGUUCGGAAUUACUGGGCGUAAAGCGCACGUAGGUGGCGACGUAAGUCGGGUGUGAAAGCCCCGGGCUCAACCUGGGAAUUGCAUUCGAGACUGCAUUGCUGGAGUACGGAAGAGGAAGGCGGAAUUCCCGGUGUAGCGGUGAAAUGCGUAGAUAUCGGGAGGAAGGCCGGUGGCGAAGGCGGCGCUCUGGAACAUUUCUGACGCUGAGGCUCGAAAGCGUGGGGAGCAAACAGG
rnacentral:rRNA from 1 species